rnacentral:tRNA from 1 species
GGACGCUUAGCUCAGCUGGUUAGAGCGUCGCAUUUACACUGCGAAGGCCGAAGGUUCGAAUCCUUCAGCGUCCACCA